AUGCCGCGUGCAGGAAGACUGCCCUAUGGGUUGUAAACUGCUUUUAUACAGGAAGAAACCUUUCCACGUGUGGAGAGCUGACGGUACUGUAAGAAUAAGGACCGGCUAACUCCGUGCCAGCAGCCGCGGUAAUACGGAGGAUCCAAGCGUUAUCCGGAAUCAUUGGGUUUAAAGGGUCCGUAGGUGGAUAAUUAAGUCAGAGGUGAAAGUUUGCGGCUCAACCGUAAAAUUGCCUUUGAUACUGGUUAUCUUGAAUCAUUGUGAAGUGGUUAGAAUAUGUAGUGUAGCGGUGAAAUGCAUAGAUAUUACAUAGAAUACCAAUUGCGAAGGCAGAUCACUAACAAUGUAUUGACACUGAUGGACGAAAGCGUGGGGAGCGAACGGGAUUAGAUACCCCGGUAGUCCACGCCGUAAACGAUGGUCACUAGCUGUUCGGACUCCGGUCUGAGUGGCUAAGCGAAAGUGAUAAGUGACCCACCUGGGGAGUACGUUCGCAAGAAUGAAACUCAAAGGAAUUGACGGGGGCCCGCACAAGCGGUGGAGCAUGUGGUUUAAUUCGAUGAUACGCGAGGAACCUUACCAGGGCUUAAAUGUAGAUUGCAUUAGCUAGAGAUAGCUAUUUCUUCGGACUAUCUACAAGGUGCUGCAUGGUUGUUGUCAGCUCGUGCCGUGAGGUGUCAGGUUAAGUCCUAUAACGAGCGCAACCCCUGUUGUUAGUUGCCAGCGAGUCAAGUCGGGAACUCUAACAAGACUGCCAGUGCAAACUGUGAGGAAGGUGGGGAUGACGUCAAAUCAUCACGGCCCUUACGUCCUGGGCUACACACGUGCUACAAUGGUAGGGACAGAGAGCAGCCACUGGGCGACCAGGAGCAAAUCUAUAAACCUUAUCACAGUUCGGAUCGGAGUCUGCAACUCGACUCCGUGAAGCUGGAAU
rnacentral:rRNA from 1 species